UCCAAAGUCAAUGCAUUUACUUUCCAGAAGAUUCUGCAGGGAAGCCACUCACCAGCCUACAUUUCGGAUUCGGAUUUCAGUUGUUGCCAUGACCUCCCUGCUUAUGUCCCUGAGUUGCUGAAAGACCACUGGGGAGUCCAACACACAUCCUGCCCUGGGGACACUCUAAGGUUGUUCUGCGACCCUACCCCACCCCGAGGAGAGUGUGCCCGGAGAGGAGGUGAAAUUCAAUUUUGUCACUAUACUACUUGCUAGCCGCUUUGGUUGAAAGGGAAAUGUUUAGCCGGAGAAAGAGUUGCAAUUAGGGAGUGAAAUGUGGCUUUUAGAUCCUCCUUAGAUUUCUGGGCAUUCUAUUAAAAUGAACAAUUGAGAGUUCCCUCUUUAUAUUUCUUAGAAUGAAGUCCUUUUACCGUCUCCAAACAAAGGUCUACACAAGUACCAGGGCAAGUCGAAUAUGUAAAUCUUACAUGUAGAUGCUUAGAUAAGAAGAGUUUCUUUGCAAGCACUUUCAAAAUGCUGCAGUCAAUUCUCAGUCUUUUACUCUAUAUGCCAGAAUGAAAGCAAGUAUGUGAACAGGCUAAAAUAAACACCUCUGUAUAGUAUUGUAGGGUUGGAAAUUCUGGAAAGGUCAUUUUAAGCAGUCACUGAUUCUUGCUUCUCUCUGCAAAUGGAUCACUUCGGACGACUGUUGGACUUGAACAGAGUGAGAGUGGAAUACUGGCUUGCAAAUUCUCAAUGUCCCUUUGAUUUUUCUACCCGUUAAACUGAUGGUUUGGCUGUCAUGAGAGUUGUUUUGUUUCUGUGGCAAUAAAU